GGUCAUGUGGCCUAGUGGUCAUGGCAUCUGCCCAGUAAGCGGAAGGUCGUGGGUUCGAUUCCCAUCCCUUGACACU